GUGAGGGCUCCUCCUUGCACCAGUCACAAUUACCAGAUACAGAUAUGGACGGUCUAGUUCACACACCAGGGACCCACUUCAACAUAGCAACUUCAUCAGAACUGGGCUGGUGAAUAUUUCUUCUAGGACAUCUAAGAAGGGUUGAUGCUGUUCAAUGGCCACACAAAAAGCAAGGAACUUGAAGGAUUCAAAUCCAGGAGGAGCCACUCCAACACUGCUGUAGUUACUCCACGUGCAGAUAUUGGGCUAAAGAAGCAGGCCCCAUCAAUAGUCAGUAAACAACUACUGACUGCGUCUUCUUCUGUUUGUAUCUCUGUGAGAGAAUGA
rnacentral:lncRNA from 1 species